AUGCAAGAGUGUUUGUCUCUCUUGUUCAAGGUUCUGCACGAGGAAUGUCUCGAUCGGCAGGAGAGGGAACAGAGGGUACUGAGAGCGGAGGCCAAAGAGGAGGAGGAAAAAGAGGAGCGAAAUCAGCCUUUGCCCUGCAGUUUGGUCCAGCUCAUUUCUGAAAUGACACACAGUAGAUGGAGACAAUUUAACUUCAUAGUGCUGCGAAGCCCUGCACUCCUGCUGGAAAAUCAGUUCAGGGGCAAAUUAGACAAUUACGGGGACAAAUGCGACAAUACAAAUUGUUUAUUUCGAAAAUGGGAUUUUCAGAUUAUAAACCCCGUUGAUUUAUUAUUUCUUCAUACCGGCGUUGGAGUGUCAAUUGCCAGAGCCUGGCCGGGAAAUGAAAGCCUCACGGUCACCAAAUGGUGGCACUGUAGCCUUACAAAUGUACAGCCGGCUUCCUACGGCCAGGCUGUCGGACUGAUUCCAAUCCAAGGUUUGAAAAGCACUUGUCUGCUCUAAAUUGUUCUUAUAAAGAGCUUGGAAAUACUUGACUUUUCUCCUUAUGUGGUUAUGGAUUUUCUUUUUGUACAAUUAAGUGCCAUUAAAAGCUAAUACAUCCUGUUAAACCACAUUAAGGUGUUGGGGUGGACAGUGGCUUGGUUAUCCAUCCGCAUAUUGUGAAUAGGAGCCCACUCUCUGAGCAUUUUUUGAAAUCUAUAUUGGGCCAUUGAGAAACUUCAGGAUGAAAAGAUCAAAAGGGAAAUGUCCAGGGGGCUGCUGAUUUUUUUUUUUUUUCAGCCAGCGAGACCACCCACAGCUGCUUGACGUAGAUGAACCACGGAGCAACGAAACGAUGAAACAAAACCAAUCUGUGGUUGACUCACAGGCGCUCAGUGUCUAACAUGAAUAGUUUUGAUUUUUUUUUUUGUAUGAGCCUUGAGAAUCUGUAAUCCUAAAACAAUAUAUAUUAAUCAUUAUAUUAAAUUAUUUAAAUUAAUUAAAUAUAUUAUAGACCCACCAUUGCAUUAAAAUAUAGAAAGAUUGUAUUUAAAUCUGUGAGGCCGUUUGCCUUAUUUGUAAGUUUUUACAAAUAAGGCAACAAACAAGAGCCUGUCGUGUUGAAACCACAGCUCCCAGCAGGGGUCGUCGCGGUGCCCAUAACCGCCAAGGUUAUCUCACAAUUAACAAGUUCAAAAUGCAAUAUUCAGAUCUGCAGAGCCUCCUCUUUUUAUUUAGGAAUGCUAAAUGAAAAUGAGUACGCUGCACUAAACAACAAAAGGGAGGAAAGCUUGUUUUUCCCUACACACGACGAAUGUGAAGCUCUGCCCGCGGAUAUAAGCAAUUUCCAAAUCUGGUGUUUGUAAUGCGCACUGUAGUUUGUAGCGCAUCUCCACGGAGGUUAAUGAGGGGGCACUCUGCAGUAAUUAAAACAAGAGCAUUAUAAGGCAGCAGUUUCACAUAAGGCACUCGUGGCAGCAUAACCCGUACUUAAUUAAAACUCUUUGCUGACAGCAUUCUGUAUCUUCUCAGGUAAUCUGCUGUGAAAUUAAUAAGGAGGGAGAAUUAAAUGACUAAUGUUGGCAAAGAAAGGCUAUUCUCCCCCCCCCCCCCCCUCGCAGUGUGCAUGACAGGGGUCUCUAUCUAGAAUGUGUGAUCCUUAUUGUGCCAAAAAUACUUCCUUAGGUUCUCAUCGUAAUCUGAUUUGAAUUUCACUUACGGUGUGACACCUAGGCGACCAGCCAGGGGGACGUUUAAUUGAAAUGUCCAUGCAUUUAAUUGGAUUUUGUUAAGAUUCGAAAUUACCUCCCGAAAUUGUACCUUUAAAUGCUGAUACCGAUUGGUUUCCAGCGGCGAUCCGCUAGGGAGGUGAAAUAAUGCCUCCAUUCAGCGGUGCGCCGAGGUAAAAGAACAUUCUAGAAUUUGGAGACAAACUGUUCCACCAGGAGUCUUGCAUUUCAAAGACGGAAAUUCAUCUGCCGAAAUGAUUUCCUUUUUAACUGUGCUUGAGAGACAACACUCAGGAACGCUCCUGUUGUAGCAGACAUGGCAGUCCGGUUAUCUACUCAUUUUCUGGUUAGACUUCUCCAUCAACCACCAAUAUUCGGCAGUCAUGAUACAGACGGCUGUCAUGAUACUGUACUUAGACAACAGUGGCUACAAGAUAUCCAUCGCGAGCCGAGUGAACCAGUCAUUCAUGAUAUCAUCUCCGAGCUGAAGGUGUUAGCAUCUGACACGCUCAGGUAACGCGUGGGCGGCAGGCGGCAAAGCUUCCCUCACCUCCUCGAGGGUCGCGCCCUUCCGACCUCCCGCAUUGAGCUUUGUGAUUUUCUCUCCCGUUCUAGGUACCGUGUCGCCCCCUGCUGUGGCCGCGCGCAAAAAAAAAAAAAAGAAAGAAAGAAGAAACUCCCUGCCUCCUCCACCUACAUCCAUGACCCCCUCUGAUUUCAUCCCUUUCACUGAUUAGUUUGCUGGCAGAUUGAAUGCCCGCGUCCGCGGCCUCGCGUCACCCCGGCUGGCUCCACCUGUGUGCGGUUGGAUCAGCAGGUGGCUGGAACGCCGUCCAGCGUGAUACUGAAACCAUUAUUUACACUUAACGGGUUCUCUCUGCGCCCAGCAGAGCCGUGGUUUUUUUUUGGGGGGGGGGGGAAUCAACCGGCGUGGUUAUUUCAUAAUUCCAGAAAAAACAAGACGUGCCUCGAUUUAUGCCAGAGACGCACCGUUGGGGAAGAACUCGCAGCAGUGCCUCUGUGCGAUCCGUGGAUUCAUAUUCUGUGCGAGUGAGGAUCCUAAAAAUGUGAGGUCAUUAGCGACUUGUCCGUCCAAACCCCCCCCCCCCCCCCCCCCCCCCUCUCUUUUGUGUGUGUGCGUGCGGUUUGGGUGAAUUCACAUGCGUUUUGUUUUUUUCCCGCGCCGGCCCAAGUCGGAGCCACAGGAGUGUGAAAUAACAAGCACAAGAGGGAUUUCACGCCUUUACAGAGCUGAAAAGGUAUGUUUUUGUCUGACAACUCAGUCCAUUUCCAUCCCCCGACAAACUUUGUUUACUUCCCACAUAGUCACUGCCUACCUAUUUUCUAAAAAAGAAAAGAAAACAACGCUGUACAAUUAAAGGGCUACAUUAUAUAUGGGUUCCCACGGGUAUAGCGUGUCCCGAGUUUGAUAAUGCUACACCUCUGGCCUGUUUUAUCGCUGUUAUCAGCGGCACGCGGUGCAUCAUUAGAAAAAGACAAACAGCCCGGUUUGUUUUUGGGGGGCCAGACGCGCUGACAGGAAAUCAAUGCCCGGUUUCCCAUGAGCACCUAAUUAGCUGCACACUUGUGCAGUGUUGAAUCACGGGGCCGGAUCCCUUUGUCUGCCGAGUCGAUCGUGUGGUGGGGGGGAAAUGCAUGAGAGACACCUUCACGGCUGAUAAAGUGCCAGAGAGGUGAGGAGUAAACACGUAAGUGACACUUAUGGUCCAACACGUCUCCCACCCACCAAAUGCUUUGGCAAAGACUCGAUUUAAACUUUGUCGUCCGUGCCGCCGAAGCGCUGCACACUGAGGUGGGGGGGGGGGGGGGGGGGGGGGUGUUGAUCAAUGACGCAUUUCUUAUCUCACAAACACCCGACGAUGGCGUUUGCCAAAGUAGGGUCGGGAAACAAGUGCCGGGUACAGGAUGGAAAUAGGACGUGGAGAGCCGUGCAGGAGGCAGUUUUCCUGCAUGGCUCUGACUCAAUUCCUCUCUCGCUGGAAAUUCUGAACCUUCAAUGAAUGAAAUGGAAGAGGUUGGCGAAAAAAAACUAAAAUGUCCAAAGCUAUUCUAUAACCUGCUGGAGUGACACUUGCGAAUUUCCACUAAGGACGAGGUGGCAGUACAGACGCAGAUAGACGAAGGGGAAUAAAAGGGCCUUCUUAUGACAAACUUUCUGGAAAUGUCAGCCUUUCAUGCUUUUGAGAAGACCUAUUUCAUAUCUAUUACAGCAGGCAUUCUGUGUCCGAUAUUUCAGAUUUCACUCCUCCCCGCACUGCAAAUCCUCUGCCAAUCUUCCGCCCUUAAGAAUCUCUGCCAGCCCCGAUGCAUUAUUCCCCCUNNNNNNNNNNNNNNNNNNNNNNNNNNNNNNNNNNNNNNNNNNNNNNNNNNNNNNNNNNNNNNNNNNNNNNNNNNNNNNNNNNNNNNNNNNNNNNNNNNNNCCCCCCCCCCCCCCCCUUUUGAUGUGACAGAACAAACCAGCGACCUAUUAGGAUUAAGGCUUUGAAAAGAUCUUUGAAGCCGCUCAAGGUUCCUUUAAACUGGGGAAUGACAAUAUGAGCUGUGCGGCAGCAGAUGCUGAAUGGAGUGAUUGCUAGUCCUCCUCAGCGAGGUCUGCUGUCGCACAACACACGGACACACAAACACACACACACACACACACAACUCACAUCCACCUUUUACCCAGAGCCCUGCAGUUGUCUCCUGCAGAACAUGUGUUGUGCUCACAAAUGCAGAUUUGGUUCAGUUUGGCUACGAGCCUCUGGUGUG
ensembl:lncRNA